rnacentral:rRNA from 1 species
AGCGAACGCUGGCGGUAGGCCUAACACAUGCAAGUCGAACGGCAGCACAGUAAGGGCUUGCUCUUACGGGUGGCGAGUGGCGGACGGGUGAGGAAUGCAUCGGAAUCUACUUUUUCGUGGGGGAUAACGUAGGGAAACUUACGCUAAUACCGCAUACGACCUACGGGUGAAAGCAGGGGAUCUUCGGACCUUGCGCGAUUGAAUGAGCCGAUGUCGGAUUAGCUAGUUGGCGGGGUAAAGGCCCACCAAGGCGACGAUCCGUAGCUGGUCUGAGAGGAUGAUCAGCCACACUGGAACUGAGACACGGUCCAGACUCCUACGGGAGGCAGCAGUGGGGAAUAUUGGACAAUGGGCGCAAGCCUGAUCCAGCCAUACCGCGUGGGUGAAGAAGGCCUUCGGGUUGUAAAGCCCUUUUGUUGGGAAAGAAAAGCAGCAGGUUAAUACCCCGCUGUUCUGACGGUACCCAAAGAAUAAGCACCGGCUAACUUCGUG